UUUUAGUAGAAACGGGAUUUCACCAUGUUAACCAGGCUGGUCUCAAACUCCUGGCCUCAAGUGAUCCACCCACCUCAGCCUCCCAAAUUGCUGGGAUUACACGUGAGAGCCACCGUGCCCAGACAUAAGUGACACCAAACAGAAGACAAGACUCUGCACACCCAGAAAUCUUCUUGUCAACUAUAAUUAGCUCCUCCAGAGAAGAGUCAUAUCAGAGCCAGAAAAUCAGUCCCUGGGCCUGAUUCACACCGGCUCCUUGGUGAAGAUCUGGGGAGGACAACUCCACAGAUUAUAUUUUUAUGAGAACAAGUAUCACUCCAGUGAAAUACAGAGUGAUACAGUAUGAACUACUGGAUCUGUUCACAAUGUGCCUUAGAAUAAUAACAUGUCAUUUGAAUAAACAAACGUUCUUUGUUCAAGUGUUUAGAUAACUGUGGUUGGGAUUUAAGCACUUAAUAGCAUGCACUAGAGUCACAGGUGUUCUGAUAAGAUUAAGUCUCAGCUCCAUGGAGAUAAGAUGCUGUUGUGGAUUCUGUGGCAUGUCACCCAGGACAUGUAUGCUGAUACCUGGUGUGUUCCUGCUGAGAGCUCACAGCUCAGUCCCUCUCCGAGAACUGACACAGCUGAAGGAAUUCAGCUCACCUAUAAUUACGCUCAGGGAAAU
rnacentral:lncRNA from 10 species